rnacentral:lncRNA from 1 species
UAAAAGUGAACAUAAAAACUUGAAUAAGCAUUGAAAUAAUCAAUUCAAACAACACUGUAUCUUUCAGAGAUUUUAUGGAGAGCAUUGAGAAUAUUGGUUGGAGAAGGAAAUGGCAGUCCACUCCAGUACUCUUGCCUGGAGAAUUCCAAGUACAGCGAAGCCUGGUGGGCUACAGUCCAUGGGAUUGCAAAGAGUCAGACACGGCUUUGCAACUUUCACUUUCGCUUGAGAAUAUUGGAAAGAGAUUUGGUCGUGCCCACUCUUCACAGUAAAACACUCGUGGAGCUGGUAUAACUGGCAAAGAGUUUACGGUGUUUGAGGAACUGGCAAGAAAUGGAAGGAAGGCUGGAUUAUGAGUGUAAAUGUGAAGA